ACUCAAAGGAAUAGACGGGGGCCCGCACAAGCAGUGGAGUAUGUGGUUUAAUUCGAAGAUACGCGAAAAACCUUACCAAGCCUUGACAUCCGACUAACGAAGCAGAAAUGCAUUAGGUGCCCUUCGGGGAAAGUCGAGACAGGUGGUGCAUGGUUGUCGUCAGCUCGUGUCGUGAGAUGUUGGGUUAAGUCCCGCAACGAGCGCAACCCUUGCGGUUAGUUGCUACGAAAGAGCACUCUAACAGGACUGCCGUUGACAAAACGGAGGAAGGUGGGGAUGAUGUCAAAUCAUCAUGCCCCUUAUGGCUUGGGCUACACACGUACUACAAUGGCUGUUAACAAAGGGAUGCAAUGAAGCAAUUCGGAGCUAAUCCUCAAAAACAGUCUCAGUUCAGAUUGCAGGCUGAAACUCGCCUGUAUGAAGUCGGAAUUGCUAGUAAUCGCGAAUCAGCAUGUCGCGGUGAAUACGUUCCCGGGCCUUGUACACACCGCCCGU
rnacentral:rRNA from 1 species